rnacentral:rRNA from 1 species
CCUACGGGAGGCAGCAGUGAGGGAUAUUGCGCAAUGGGCGAAAGCCUGACCCAGCAACGCCGCGUGAGGGACGAAGGCCUUCGGGUUGUAAACCUCUUUUCUGGGGGACGAGACCAGGACGGUACCUCAGGAAUAAGUCUCGGCUAACUACGUGCCAGCAGCCGCGGUAAGACGUAGGAGGCGAGCGUUAUCCGGAUUUACUGGGCGUAAAGCGCACGCAGGCGGCUUCGUUAGUCGGAUGUGAAAGCUCCUGGCUUAACUGGGAGAGGCCAUUCGAUACUGGGGGGCUUGAGGUUGGAAGAGGGGUGUGGAAUUCCCGGUGUAGUGGUGGAAUGCGUAGAUAUCGGGAGGAACACCGGUGGCGAAGGCGGCCUCCGGGGUUUCCACUGACGCUGAGGCCCGAAAGCGUGGGGAGCAAACAGGAUUAGAUACCCGGGUAGU